rnacentral:rRNA from 1 species
UACGUAGGGGGCUAGCGUUGUCCGGAUUUAUUGGGCGUAAAGAGCGUGUAGGCGGCCAGGUAGGUCUGGUGUGAAAACUCGAGGCUUAACCUCGAGAUGUCAUCGGAAACCAUCUGGCUAGAGUCCGGAAGAGGAGAGUGGAAUUCCUGGUGUAGCGGUGAAAUGCGUAGAUAUCUGGAGGAACACCGGUGGCGAAGGCGGCAUCCUGGACCGGUAUUGACGCUGAGGCGCGAAAGCCAGGGGAGCAAACGGG